AUUGAACGCUGGCGGCAUGCUUUACACAUGCAAGUCGAACGGUAACAGGGAGCUUGCUCCGCUGACGAGUGGCGAACGGGUGAGUAAUGCGUCGGAACGUGCCGAGUAGUGGGGGAUAACGUAGCGAAAGUUGUGCUAAUACCGCAUACGUACUGAGGUAGAAAGUGGGGGACCUUCGGGCCUCACGCUAUUCGAGCGGCCGACGUCUGAUUAGCUAGUAGGUGAGGUAAAGGCUCACCUAGGCGACGAUCAGUAGCGGGUCUGAGAGGAUGAUCCGCCACACUGGGACUGAGACACGGCCCAGACUCCUACGGGAGGCAGCAGUGGGGAAUUUUGGACAAUGGGCGAAAGCCUGAUCCAGCCAUGCCGCGUGUCUGAAGAAGGCCUUCGGGUUGUAAAGGACUUUUGUCGGGGAGGAAAUCCCCAGCGUUAAUACCGCUGGGGGAUGACAGUACCUGAAGAAUAAGCACCGGCUAACUACGUGCCAGCCGCCGCCGUAA
rnacentral:rRNA from 1 species